CGUGACAUCAUAGAGAUGCUCGUGGCUCGGGAGCGCGUGGUGCUUCCUCCUUAUGGUUUAGUGGCGAACGGGUGAGUAAUACAUCGGAACAUGUCCUGUAGUGGGGGAUAGCCCGGCGAAAGCCGGAUUAAUACCGCAUACGAUCUACGGAUGAAAGCGGGGGACCUUCGGGCCUCGCCCUAUAGGGUUGGCCGAUGGCUGAUUAGCUAGUUGGUGGGGUAAAGGCCUACCAAGGCGACGAUCAGUAGCUGGUCUGAGAGGACGACCAGCCUAACUGGGACUGAGACACGCCCCAGACUCCUACGGGAGGCAGCAGUGGGGAAUUUUGGACAAUGGGCGAAAGCCUGAUCCAGCAAUGCCGCGUAUGUGAAGAAGGCCUUCGGGUUGUAAAGCACUUUUUGUCCGAAAAGAAAUCCUUUGCUUCUAAUACAGUCGGGGGGAUGACGGUACCGGAAAGAAUAAGCACCGGCUAAACUACGUGCCAGCAGCCGCGGUAAUACGUAGGGUGCGAGCGUUAAUCGGAAUUACUGGGCGUAAAGCGUGCGCGGGCGGUUUUGCUAAGACCGAUGUGAAAUCCCCCGGGGCUCAACCUGGGAACUGCAUUUGGUGACUGGCAGGCUAGAGUAUGGCAGAGGGGGGGUAGAAUUCCACGUGUAGCAGUGAAAAUGCGUAGAGAUGUGGAGGAAUACCGAUGGCGAAGGGCAGCCCCCUGGGCCAAUUACUGACGCUCAUGCACGAAAGCGUGGGMGCAACAGGGAUUAGGAUACCCUGGUAGUCCACGCCUAAACGAUGUCAACUAGUGUGGAUUCAUUUCCUUUAGUAACGUAGCUAACCGCGUGAAGUUGACCGAAUGGGAGUACCGUUCCGCAAGAAUUCAAAUCCUCCAAAGGU
rnacentral:rRNA from 1 species